rnacentral:misc_RNA from 1 species
GAUGAAGAACGCAGCGAAGUGCGAUAAGUAGUGUGAAUUGCAGAAUUCAGUGAAUCAUCGAAUCUUUGAACGCACAUUGCGCCCUUUGGUAUUCCAAAGGGCAUGCCUGUUCGAGCGUCAUUUGUACCCUCAAGCUUUGCUUGGUGUUGGGCGUCUUGUCUCUAGCUUUGCUGGAGACUCGCCUUAAAGUAAUUGGCAGCCGGCCUACUGGUUUCGGAGCGCAGCACAAGUCGCACUCUCUAUCAGCAAAGGUCUAGUAUCCAUUAAGCCUUUUUUUCAACUUUUGACCUCGGAUCAGGUAGGGAUACCCGCUGAACUUAAGCAUAUCAAUAAGCGGAGGA